UACGUAGGGGGCAAGCGUUGUCCGGAUUUAUUGGGCGUAAAGAGCGUGUAGGCGGCUUGGUAGGUCCGCUGUGAAAACUCGAGGCUCAACCUCGAGAUGUCGGCGGAAACCACUUGGCUAGAGUCCGGAAGAGGAGAGUGGAAUUCCUGGUGUAGCGGUGAAAUGCGCAGAUAUCAGGAAGAACACCAAUGGCGAAGGCAGCUCGCUGGGACGUUACUGACGCUGAGACGCGAAAGCGUGGGGAGCAAACAGG
rnacentral:rRNA from 1 species